CGGAAAUUUUUAUUUUUUUUUGUUUUUGAUAAUUUUGAUCUAUGAAAAAACUAAUGAUAUGUCAUAAAAAAAGUGUUGCAAUAUAAGUAGAAAGAGAGAAAAAAACAAUGCAACUUAUGGUCGCAAGAAGAUGUCGCUACGACACUCAAAAGAACAUGGUACAUUAUUCUUGCUUCCACCUUUUAUAUAGAAACAUCUACAUUUCAA
rnacentral:lncRNA from 1 species